rnacentral:rRNA from 1 species
GUAGGGAUACCCGCUGAACUUAAGCAUAUCAAUAAGCGGAGGAAAAGAAACCAACAGGGAUUGCCUCAGUAACGGCGAGUGAAGCGGCAAGAGCUCAAAUUUGAAAUCUGGCUCCUUCGGGGCCCGAGUUGUAAUUUGGAGAGGAUGCUUCGGGCGUGGCCCCCAUCUAAGUGCCCUGGAACGGGCCGUCAUAGAGGGUGAGAAUCCCGUCUGGGAUGGGUGGUCCCGCCCGUGUGAAGCUCCUUCGAAGAGUCGAGUUGUUUGGGAAUGCAGCUCAAAGUGGGUGGUAAAUUCCAUCUAAAGCUAAAUAUUGGCGAGAGACCGAUAGCGAACAAGUACCGUGAGGGAAAGAUGAAAAGCACUUUGGAAAGAGAAUGAAAUAGUACCUGAAAUUGCUGAAAGGGAAACGAGUGAAGUUAGACUUGCGCAGUUGGUAUUCAGCCUUGGCUUCGGUCUUGGUGCAUUUGCCUUCUAUUGCAGGCCAACAUCAGUUUACUUUGCGGUAAAAGGGUUUGGGGAAUGUGGCUUCUUCGGGAGUGUUAUAGCCCUUUACUGGAUGCCGAAUCGUAGACUGAGGAACGCAGCGCGCCUUUAUGGCAAAGCUUUCAAGCUUCGAGCGCUUAGGAUGUUGGUAGAAUAGCUUUACACGACCCGUCUUGAAACACGGACCAAGGAGUCUAACAUCUAUGCGAGUGUUCGGGUGUCAAACCCGUGCGCGAAGUGAAAGCGAACGGAG